UACGUAGGUGGCAAGCGUUGUCCGGAUUUACUGGGCGUAAAGAGCGCGCAGGCGGUCGUUCAAGUCGCGUGUGAAAGCCCCCGGCUCAACUGGGGAGGGUCACGCGAUACUGAUCGACUCGAAGGCAGGAGAGGGUAGUGGAAUUCCCGGUGUAGUGGUGAAAUACGUAGAUAUCUGGAGGAACACCGGUGGCGAAGGCGGCGAUCUGGCCCAACAUUGACACUGAGACCCGAAAGCAUGGGGAUCAAACAGG
rnacentral:rRNA from 1 species